UAUUGAUUGACAAAGCAAGGUAUUUAUAUAAAUAUAUAUUAAACAUAAUUCCACCAGGAAUAUGGUAUAAUCAAUUAUAUAAUAAAUUAUGUAAAUCAUAACAUAUAAAACAAAUCAGCCAACAUGUGAAACGAAUGAGUUGGAUUAAGAGUAUACAAAUAAAAAAUACAAUCCAAAUUCCCAAAUAAAUUUUUAGUAUACGAGUGAUGACUUGAUCGUCGGAUUGAACCAAAACCGCACAAUAGAAUGCCGCCGAUAUACAAAGAACUGCUACUGUCAUGAACGUAACCAGAAUCGCCAUUAUCAAACGGUUCCUAUAAACAAUUGUAACAUUGGAUAAUUAGAGUUUUUUUAUUUGUCUUAACACCCAAAAGUUCUCACUAUGGAAAGACCAUUAAAUAGCUAUGAUUAACGAAGUCCAAUCAAAUAAUGAUUGGGUUGGUUUUCUAACCAAUCAUACAAGUUUUGAUGAGUAAGUCUAAGUCAACCAAGUGACAAAAAAAGUCUAAGUCAACCACUGGAACCAAAAUGAAUACCUUAAUCUCAGUUUACAUGAAUAUCGAGCAACAUAAGUAAAUUUAGUUCACUCCAUGAAUGUUCGAUAAAAUCUUGUCAAAUCCAAACUUAUUGUAUAAAGUUGCACAUAUAAUUAAUCUCUUAGUCGUAUACCUUAAUCGUAACCCGCUGAUGAUGAGGAGAAUUUGAGUCAUAGAAGCAGAAAACGAUACUGUAGUACUAGUAACCAUUCCAUGAUAAAACCCACGCUUUGAAGUUUGAACUAUUGCCCCCCAGACUUUCGCCUUACAAACACCAGUUUGAUGUCCAGGGGAACAUAUGUCACUUUGCCAAACGCCACUUGGAGGAUUAACCAUAACUUGAAAACUCAUACCGGCUAUGACCGUCGCCGCAACCAUCAGAUUGCCUCUUGUUUUCUCUAACCAAUCACCUUGACGGUUUAGGUAUUUGAUGAACCAUUUAGAUAAUUCUUCGCGUUGAUUUGCUUCACUGUUAAUUUCCACGAUUUUAAGCUAUGGAUAUCACACUGAUGGUAUUCACUAUUCACUCUAAGUUAUUAAAAUGUGUGUGUAUAUAACUUAUCUUUUCGUUAAGUUUAAGAAAAAAGAAAAAAAUAGAAUUGUGUUUUAGGAAUUGAGAUGGAAAUUUCUGGUUUGAUCAAGUAGACGAUAGACAUAGGUGAAGAAGCGUCUUCGUUUUCUUUAGAUAUUUUUUUUGUUUUGUUUAUAAACGUAUUGCUAGGUUCUAAGUUUAGAAUACUACUAAUUGCACAAUAUCAGACUUGACCACGUAUGAAUACUUUUGUUUUUGCUUAUAACGUAUUGCUAGGUUUGAAGUACUAAUUGCACAAUAUCAGACUUGACCUUGACCUUUGUAUAUGUAUAUUUUUGUUUUGUUAAUAAACGUAUUUCUAGGUUUUAAGUUUAGAAUACUAGUUGCACAAUAUCAGACUUGAACUGUAUUUAUACUUUUGUUUAUAAACGUAUCGCUGGGUUUUAAGUUUUACAAAUAUCAGACUUGACCUUUGUAUGUAUGUUUUUGUUUUGUUUAUAUAUAAAAGUAUUGCCAGGUUUUAAGUUCAGAAUACUACAGUAGUUUUUUCUUUUUUUCAGAAUACUAGUUGCACAAUAUCAGACUUAAUUAGACCUUGGAUGUAUUGUUUAAAAACGUAUUGCUAGGUUUUAAGUUCAGAAUACUUAUUGGUCAAUAUCAGACUGGACCUUUCAGUUUAAUUGAUUACAGUCAGAACCUAUGUUUUUGUUCUACCACAAAACUGUUCACAACAUGAAUAAAAACGUUCCAUGAUUAUAUUGUAAAAUGGAAAUAAUACUCAUUAACAACAAUAUCAAAACAAAACCUUACGCGUUCUAUUGACCCAAUAUUUGGAUCAAAGAUAAACGGGACAGUAUAUUGAAUUCACACACUUAUUUUAUAUAGAGAUAUUACACCACAUGUUUGUUUAAAUUAGACGGAAAAAGCCUGUUGGGACUUGAUGCGUCUCUUUCUAAGGCGUUCGGCAAUGAUGAAGGAGAGCUCGAGAGACU